GUGGGGAAUAUUGGACAAUGGGCGCAAGCCUGAUCCAGCAAUGCCGCGUGAGUGAUGAAGGCCUUCGGGUCGUAAAGCUCUUUUACCCGGGAUGAUAAUGACAGUACCGGGAGAAUAAGCUCCGGCUAACUCCGUGCCAGCAGCCGCGGUAAUACGGAGGGAGCUAGCGUUGUUCGGAAUUACUGGGCGUAAAGCGCACGUAGGCGGUUACUCAAGUCAGAGGUGAAAGCCCGGGGCUCAACCCCGGAACUGCCUUUGAAACUAGGUGACUGGAAUCUUGGAGAGGCGAGUGGAAUUCCGAGUGUAGAGGUGAAAUUCGUAGAUAUUCGGAAGAACACCAGUGGCGAAGGCGACUCGCUGGACAAGUAUUGACGCUGAGGUGCGAAAGCGUGGGGAGCAAACAGGAUUAGAAACCCCAGUAGUCC
rnacentral:rRNA from 1 species